rnacentral:rRNA from 1 species
UACGAAGGGGGCUAGCGUUGCUCGGAUUGACUGGGCGUAAAGGGCGCGUAGGCGGUUUGCAUAGUCAGACGUGAAAUUCCUGGGCUUAACCUGGGGGCUGCGUUUGAUACAUGCAGGCUUGAGUUCGGAAGAGGGUCGUGGAAUUCCCAGUGUAGCGGUGAAAUGCGUAGAUAUCGGGAGGAACACCUGUGGCGAAAGCGGCUCACUGGACCAUUACUGACGCUGAGGCGCGAAAGCUAGGGGAGCAAACAGG